rnacentral:sRNA from 1 species
GAAGGACGGCGCCAGAUCCCAAGCUGACCCUGUCCAAGGCUGCAGCCCAGCAGCUGGACCCCCGAGAGCACCUGAACCAGGGCAGGCCCCACCUGUCGCCCAGGCCACCCCCCACAGGAGACCCUGGCAGCCACCCACAGUGGAGGUCCGGAGUGCCCAGAGCAGGGAAGCAGGGCCAGCGUGCCGUGAGCGCCUACCUGGCUGAUGCCCGCAGGGCCCUGGGGUCUGCAGGCUGUAGCCAGCUCUUGGCAGCGCUGAGGGCCUAUAAGCAAGACGACGACCUCGACAAGGUGCUGGCUGUGCUGGCCGCCCUGACCACUGCAAAGCCGGAGGACUUCCCCCUGCUGCACAGGUUCAGCAUGUUUGUGCGUCCACACCACAAGCAGCGCUUCUCACAGACGUGCACAGACCUGACCGGCCGGCCCUACCCGGGUAUGGAGCGGCCGGGACCCCAGGAGGAGAGUCUUGUCGUGCCUCCUGUGCUUACCCAUGGGGCUCCCCAACCAGGCCCCUCACGGUCCGAGAAGCCCGGGAAGACCCAGAGCAAGAUCUCGUCCUUACUUAGACAGAGGCCAGCAGGGACUGUGGGGGCGGGCAGUGAGGAUGCAGGUCCCAGCCAGUCCCCAGGACCUCCCCACGGGCCUGCAGCGUCUGAGUGGGGUGAGCCUCAUGGGAGAGACAUCGCUGGGCAACAGGCCGCGGGAGCUCCGGGCGGGCCCCUCUCAGCAGGCUGUGUGUGCCAGGGCUGUGGGGCGGAGGACGUGGUGCCCUUCCAGUGCCCUGCCUGUGACUUCCAGCGCUGCCAAGCCUGCUGGCAACGGCACCUUCAGGCCUCUAGGAUGUGCCCAGCCUGCCACACCGCCUCCAGGAAGCAGAGCGUCACGCAGGUCUUCUGGCCAGAGCCCCAGUAAGUGCCCACGGAGGCCCUCGGCACACCCAACGUGGCUUGAUCACCUGCCUGUCCAGCUCUGGUGGGCCAAGAACCCACCCAACAGAAUAGGCCAGCCCAUGCCAGCCGGCUUGGCCCGCUGGGCCCGCUGCAGGCCUCAGGCAGGCAGGGCCCAUGGUUGGUCCCUGAGGUGGGACCGGAUCUGGGCCUGCCUCUGAGAAGCCCUGAGCUACCUUGGGGUCUGGGGUGGGUCUCUGGGAAAGUGCUUCCUCAGAACUUCCCUGGCUCCUGGCCUGUGAGUGGUGCCACAGGGGCACCCCAGUUGAGCCCCUCACCGGGAAGGAGACGCCCGUGGGCAUGUGUCCACUUUUAAUCAGGGGACAGGGCUCUCUAAUAAAGCUGCUGGCAGUGCCCAGGACGGUGUCUUCGUGGCCUGGGCUUGGUGGUGGGAGUUGAGGAGGGACGGAGUUGGCAAAGGCCCCUCCCAGCCUGCCACGUGACAUUGUACUUCCUCCACGGUGGGCUCAGCCCUGCCCUCAUCCUCACAGCGGCAGCCAAGCUGCAAUUGGUAGGGGAUCCACCAACACACCAGGCUGCCUGGGCCGGUCUCUGGGUUGGGAGCUGCCCCAGGUGCUGAGGAGGGCGGUUCCCUGGCUGGUGAGGCCCCUCACAGAACCGCCCUUGGACUGAGCUCUCGGGAGGGAUGGUACCAGGUGGGUGAGGGGGGCUGCCUGGGGAAGGAGGAGUUCCUAUGGGGCGUGGCGAGGCUGGCCCAGCCCUCUCCCCACCCAUAUAUGUAGGGCGGCAGCAGGAUGGGCUUCGGGACUUGGGCGGCCCCUCGGCAGGCGGACUGGGGGCAAAGGAGGCGGCAUGUUGGUCAGGCACAGCAGGGUCCGGUGUCCGCGCUGAGCCGCGCUCUCCCUGCUCCAGUAAGGACCAUGAGGGCGCUGGAGGGGCCAGGCCUGUCGCUGCUGUGCCUGGUGUUGGCGCUGCCCGCCCUGCUGCUGGUGCCGGCUGUACGCGGAGUGGCAGAAGCACCCACCUACCCCUGGCGGGACGCAGAGACAGGGGAGUGGCUGGUGUGCGCCCAGUGCCCCCCAGGCACCUUUGUGCAGCGGCCGUGCCGCCGAGACAGCCCCACGACGUGUGGCCCGUGUCCACCACGCCACUACACGCAGUUCUGGAACUACCUGGAGCGCUGCCGCUACUGCAACGUCCUCUGCGGGGAGCGUGAGGAGGAGGCACGGGCUUGCCACGCCACCCACAACCGCGCCUGCCGCUGCCGCGCCGGCUUCUUCGCGCACGCUGGUUUCUGCUUGGAGCACGCAUCAUGUCCACCUGGCACCGGCGUGAUUGCCCCGGGCACCUCCAGCCAGAACACACAGUGCCAGCCGUGCCCCCCAGGCACCUUCUCAGCCAGCAGCUCCAGCUCAGAGCAGUGCCAGCCCCACCGCAACUGCACGGCCCUGGGCCUGGCCCUCAAUGUGCCAGGCUCUUCCUCCCAUGACACCCUGUGCACCAGCUGUACUGGCUUCCCCCUCAGCACCAGGGCACCAGGAGCUGAGGAGUGCGAGCGUGCCGUUAUCGACUUCGUGGCUUUCCAGGACAUCUCCAUCAAGAGGCUGCAGCGGCUGCUGCAGGCCCUCGAGGCCCCGGACGGCUGGGGUCCGACACCAAGGGCGGGCCGCACAGCCUUGCAGCUGAAGCUGCGUCGGCGGCUCACGGAGCUCCUGGAGGCGCGGGACGGGGCACUGCUGGCGCGGCUGCUGCAGGCGCUGCGUGUGGCCAGGAUGCCCGGGCUGGAGCGGAGCGUCCGUGAGCGCUUCCUCCCUGUGCAAUGAUCCUGGCCCCCUCGCCCCCACUUAUUUAUUGUACAUCCUUGGCACCCUACUUGCACUAAAAGAGGCUUUUUUUAAUAGAAGAAAUGAGCUUUCUUAAAGCUUAUUUUUAUAAAGCUUUUUCGU